GCCGAGGUGGUGAAAUUGGUAGACACGUUGGAUUCAAAAUCCAAUGGAGGUAACUCCGUAUCGGUUCGAUUCCGAUCCCCGGUA
rnacentral:tRNA from 1 species